UGGCUGUAGGGACAGCCUGAGCCCCUCCCUACCCCUGUAGCCAAAGCAGUGCCACAAAAGUGCCACCUGGGUUGGAAGCACAGAAUCUUUUUUCUGCAGCUUCGAAGGAGUACAGACAGCGGACCACCAGGACUCACAGGAGGCCUAGGUUGCUGCUGCUUAGAGGUUGUCGGGGCCUUGAAAGGGCCCACAAGCUCUUCAGUGCAAGCUGCAGAGUGAGCAGGAUCCGUCUGUCACAUGGGCUUCCAGUUCCUUCUCUGCAACCCAAUCCCACCAGCACAGCCACCAGACACUUGGGCCCUGUGGCCCUUCACCAGGAAAAGGCCAGAAGCACAAGAUGUUCCUUUGCCCAAGCCUGAUGUUCUCCUUCCUCUUACCUCCCUGGGGGAGCAGCCCAGGACCCAGGACUGGGUAGGGAGCCGGGUUGCUGAAAGCCUCUCCCACCUGUCUUUAUGGCCAAUUCCUGUGUGUGAGUAGGAAGGUGGAACCAGGUCUGGUUUGCCUUUGUUUCUGGGCCCAGUGGCCAUGUUGCACUUGCCCAUGUCAGCUGACUUGAGUAUAAGGGAAAGAGAAUGAGAACAAGUAUGCAAGAGAGCCUGUGAGCACACAGAUGGCUACAGUUGGUGACAUGGGAAAAAUGUUUUCAGAACCUUCCUUGUAUCUCUGGGGAUCCAAGUUCUGCCAACACUGACUUGCAAGGACCAGAGAAGUCCACAAUCCCCCAAAAUGUUCCUGUGAUUUCCUGCUGCCGAGCCCUCACUCCCACCCCUGCCAUGGAGUCCUCUCCUAUCUCCCAGCAGGACCCCUCCUCAACCAUCCCCAUUAGUCUGCUGUGUCCAGAGAAAUUGUUAUUACCUGUAUAAGUGGCUGGAUUUUUCUGUGACCACUAGCAAUCAGUUCCCUGACCUGAACUUGACUCUCUUUAACCCUUAAAUGGGGUGGUUGGGCUAGAUGAGCUGGUCGAAGACUUUUUGUUCAUUCAUGUCUUUGACCUGCAUGUGUGGCUAUGUCUAACCUCAAUUACUUCUUAGUAAUUCUGCAUUGAAAUAGUUUACAUUGUCAGUUCAGCAUGAUAGUGAUAAUGAACCUUGAUCCUCAGAUAAGCUAGGCAUGGUGAUGGACUUGAUAACAUUCAAAGGGAACAGGGCAGACUCUGGACCUGAGGUCUCAUACAGCUGAGGUCUGCUUGGCAGCAAAUGCACCUGGGAGUGGUGGGGUUGAGCAACUGGGCAGAGCAGUGCAGCCGAGGGCAGGUUUGAGCAGCGGGAAGCCGUCACUAUGGGUCACAGAGACUAUGGGAAAUCAAGGCAGGCUGAAAGCUUGGCAGCCAGUGGAGCUUGGUGCAGGAGGGCCCAGAGGGUCAGGCUGGCAGGCAGCUGUUCCAGGAGGGUCUGGCAUUUGGGGAUGGACUGAAGUUCCCUAGUCUGUGGACAGGACCAGGGUGAACGGUAGGGUGCCAGUCCUAGAGGAAAGCAAGUGCCCGGUGAAGAACAGACCAGGAGGAUGAUAAGGAGGAGGAGGAGGCAGGAGCUGGUGAGCAUGCUGACACACUGCUACCCAAACCUGCUCAUGGGACACCAGCAUCUUUAGCUGCGACACGCCACACACUCUGUGAGAGAAGGACCAAGCUCACUUCUCUUCUCUGGAUGUUUGCUAGGCAGGAGGCCUGUUGGGAGAGGCCAGGCUAGUGUUUACCAGGAGAAUGGGUGGGACUCCAUGGGGGCAGUGGACACUCUGUGCCCUGCUUUCCCCUGAGUGUAGUUUGUCAUCAGGGACUGCGGAGAGUCAGCUGGAAGUCAGGAGCCCGGAGGGCUUAUGGACCAAUGAUAAGACUGCUCUGGAGGUCUGACCUGCAUUUCCGAGCCCUGCCCAAGUAAAUUGCUGUUCUUCACAGCAGGAGUAACUGAAGCUUCUGAAGCAGCAGCCAAUGUUCUCUCCUUGCAGUGGGAAAGGCAGGUCUGCACCCAGGGAGCCUCCUCCACAUGCCUGGGCCUCCCCGAGGAAACAUGACCUCCAGGGAGGCUUUUUCCUGCCAGUUAACAAUGGACAAGGAACUGAGGGUCAGAGAAGCUGAAGCACCUGGCCAAGGACACACAGCUAUCGUGGGGAGGGCAACAGGCCCCAUGGCUUUCUAGUCCACGGCUUUCUAGCCCAUGCCAUUCAGCUCAGUGGGGAAAGGGUGCCACCAGAAGAAGUUUGCCUCCUCCUCAGACAUGUCCCUCUGCGGGGCUGCCUGGCUCUGCUUGGCCAUCCAGUUCCACUAAGGAGACCAGACAAGGGAAUAAGAGCCAGAAAGAUUCUUAGAGAUCAUCUAGUCCUGCUGUUUGCACAUUGGGUUUUUCCAAACAAGAUUGUAUGAUGAGCUUUAGUAAUAGAUGAAAGAGUUGCUAUUCCUGCUUUGGGGGAGGUGAAGCC